GACGAACGCUGGCGGCGUGCUUAACACAUGCAAGUCGAACGGUAAGGCCCUGCUUUUGUGGGGUGCUCAAGUGGCGAAAGGGUGAGUGACACGUGAGUAACCUGCCCUUGACUUUGGGAUAACUUCAGGAAACUGGGGCUCAUACCGGAUAGGAGCUCCUGCUGCAUGGUGGGGGUGGGAAAGUUUCGGCAGUUUGGGAGGGACUCGCGGCUUAUCAGUUUGUUGGUGGGGUAGUGGCUUACCGAGUCUUUGACGGGUAGCCGGCUGGAGAGGGUGACCGGCCCCAUCGGGACGGAGCUACGGCCCAGACUCCUACAGGAGGCAGAAGUGGAGAAUACUGCACAAUGUGCGUAAGCCUGAUGCAGCAACGCUACGUGUGGGAUGACGGCCUACGGGUUGUAAACCGCUUUCGCGUGUGACGAAGCGUGAGAGACGGUAAUGAAGAAAGAAGUACCUGCUAA
rnacentral:rRNA from 1 species